UACGUAGGGGGCAAGCGUUGUCCGGAUUUAUUGGGCGUAAAGCGCUCGCAGGUGGUUCGUCGCGUCGUGCGUGAAAGACCCCGGCUCAACUGGGGAGGGUCGUGCGAUACGGGCGAACUGGAGGCCAGUAGGGGGAUGCGGAAUUCCGGGUGUAGUGGUGGAAUGCGUAGAGAUCCGGAGGAACACCGACGGCGUAGGCAGCGCCCUGGACGACACCUGACGCUGAGGCACGAAAGCUGGGGGAGCGAACAGG
rnacentral:rRNA from 1 species